UGCGUAGGUGGCGCGCUAAGUCAGGUGUGAAAUUUCGGAGCUUAACUCCGAAACUGCAUUUGACACUGGCGUGCUUGAGGACUGGAGAGGAGACUGGAAUUCACGGUGUAGCAGUGAAAUGCGUAGAGAUCGAGAGGAACACCAGUGGCGAAGGCGAGUCCCUGGACAACACCUGACACUGAGGCACGAAAGCUAGGGGAGCAAACA
rnacentral:rRNA from 1 species